UCAAGAAAAAACGGGCUGAUCCAACUUCAACCAAAGACUAGAGAGGAGAAACAAAAUGGGAAAAGUACAAAAAGGUACCAGAUCACCAACAAUGUAAUGACUGGGGAUCCUAUGACCAUAUCCAUCUACUUGGUAAGACAAUAAAUUCAGUUGCCCAGAGGGCAAAGCCAUACACUUUCUUUAUUUGAGAUUUCAGAAGUAUAUCACAUCAGCAA
rnacentral:lncRNA from 1 species